UUGCUGGGUGGAUUAGUGGCGAACGGGUGAGUAACACGUGAGCAACGUGCCCAUAACUCUGGGAUAACCUCCGGAAACGGUGGCUAAUACUGGAUAUCUAACAUGAUCGCAUGGUCUGUGUUUGGAAAGAUUUUUUGGUUAUGGAUCGGCUCACGGCCUAUCAGCUUGUUGGUGAGGUAAUGGCUCACCAAGGCGACGACGGGUAGCCGGCCUGAGAGGGUGACCGGCCACACUGGGACUGAGACACGGCCCAGACUCCUACGGGAGGCAGCAGUGGGGAAUAUUGCACAAUGGGCGAAAGCCUGAUGCAGCAACGCCGCGUGAGGGAUGACGGCCUUCGGGUUGUAAACCUCUUUUAGUAGGGAAGAAGCGAAAGUGACGGUACCUGCAGAAAAAGCACCGGCUAACUACGUGCCAGCAGCCGCGGUAAUACGUAGGGUGCAAGCGUUGUCCGGAAUUAUUGGGCGUAAAGAGCUCGUAGGCGGUUUGUCGCGUCUGCUGUGAAAUCCCGAGGCUCAACCUCGGGUCUGCAGUGGGUACGGGCAGACUAGAGUGUGGUAGGGGAGAUUGGAAUUCCUGGUGUAGCGGUGGAAUGCGCAGAUAUCAGGAGGAACACCGAUGGCGAAGGCAGAUCUCUGGGCCAUUACUGACGCUGAGGAGCGAAAGCAUGGGGAGCGAACAGGAUUAGAUACCCUGGUAGUCCAUGCCGUAAACGUUGGGCGCUAGAUGUGGGG
rnacentral:rRNA from 1 species